CUGCAUGCUGAUCUACACCGGCGUUUGUCAGCCGAGAUCGUUUCGGUGUGAUUAGCGGGAAUUGGUUCGGUCAUUUUAAUUGCAAACACUGAUUGUGUGUGUGUGGCGGUGGCGGCAUGUGCUUCGGUUUGGCAGGUGGUGCAAGAUGUAGCCAACUGUGGUGACUGGGUUGACUAUGGGCUGGUGAUGAGUUAUGAGUCGGGCGAUCUGUGAUUAGUGUUCGAUGCCGCGCCGUGUGUUACUGCGAUUAUUAUUAUAACCGGUAGCUUGUUUCGCAUUUCGUCGAUUGGCAAUUAUUUUAAAAUUUAAUAUUAGAACCCCACUUUUAAGAACCGAUUGUAUUGCCUGGUCCACUCAAACCGGCUGGUACGGCCAUCAAAUGGGCUCAGUCAAAUGGGAAAUAAAAUCAACCAAUGGUGCGCAAAAUGAUGCGAAUUUUGUGCAAAAGCUGUUUGCAGCAUUAAGAAAGGGCGAUUGCUGCUAAAACCAAUUAUUCCAAUUCGGAUGAAUGCAGAAUUAGAUUUGCGUUUUUUUCUCCUUUGCUUCUUCCCCACAGUUUCUCUCGUCAAUUUGAAGCUAACGAUUUUUCGACGAACACAAAUGCUAUCUAUCGUAUCGGAAUGGAAAAAUAAAAUUCAGCUAAAAAGAAAAGUAAAACCCCGAUCCGCUCAUCUGCCUGGACAAAGGGCAAAUAAUAAGCUCGAAUUGUCAUUCCAUCUCUUUCGCUCGCAUCCCCGUUUAUGCACGCGAAUCACAAUCACAGCACCGACAAUGAAAAAUAAUCACAUGGACGAAAGAGGAGUCAAAAUUGUGACCACUUAAGUUCGACAACUAUUGCGUAGUCCUUACGCGGGUGGGAAAUUGAAGGACUCGAUAUGACAUUCUUGGAGGUUUUCUUGCUUUUUUUGUUUUGCUUCCAACCCCUGUGUUACAAACGAGUUUGCCAUUCGACGUUCAUGUUCUGUCCGUUCCGAUGGUGGCAGAUUUGUUAUUGAGUUAAGCAUCUUCCGCCUUAUUCCGGAAUGGGCGAUGACAUCCGGGUGCAGAGUCGUCAGCCAGCUAUAUUGACCUCAUUUUUAUGGCUUGAUUAUUUAGCCGUUUCAAACGACCGAAGCACGAUUGCUUAUUUAUCUUUGUCUUUGUGUCCAUUUUUGCCCGUUUGGCCCCCAGUUGGGUUGGGCUUCUCAAUGCUGACGCCAUUCGCAAGACUCGUUUGUUAUGUUCUAUGGUUUCCGUGAAAGGUUUUUUUAUUGGAGAAAAUAAUAUCAAUGUUUAUAGUUGAUAAUUAUUUGAUCAUUUUAAAGGGGGUCAUAAAUUUAUUGAUGAAAUAUUUAAGAUAUUAGGUAUAUAAAAUAAUAUAAAAAUACUAUUAACAAUAACAAACUGGUUGAGUUGUUCGCUUUUUUGUUUAUGAUAAACAACCCUGAGUAUUUUCGUUAUGUAUACAUCUUGUUAAAAUUACGUUCAAUGAAGUGCAAUUCACUGACGUGUAAUUUAUCGCUCCAGUUGCGUUUAUUGCAUACAAAAGCACAUUGAAAUGAAUUAUAGAACUUGCUCAGUAAAAACACACAAAUUAAGCAUUAAACGGUUGAAUGAAGUUUAGCUUGAGAGCUGAUACUUCGGUGAGCAAUCGUGAAUAGUACAAGUCAGCCUCUUCAAAGAAUCAUGCUGAUCCAGAUUAAGAAAAAGGAUCUCUGUUUCACUUUCUUCAUUUUCUUUCUGUACGGUUGCGUGCGUGGGCAACAAAACAGGAACGAAACGCUCUUCAAACCUUCACGAUGCCACUUCUUUGCAUCGGUCAUUUGUUUGUUACGCUUCACUUCACGUACUGCAAAAGCUUAUUUGUAUGGAUUAUUAGCGAGUGAAGAACAAAACUCUCAAAAUGGAGAAACCGGGAAGGAAAAAAGCUCUCCCAGCUAGCCUGGUGGAAGUUCCGCAGUUCUUUCCGGUAUUAUGGCAGCUGGCAGAAGGCAAAUUCCACCGUAAGCAUGAACGGUUGCAGACAUAACGUUGGUCCGUGUAAUGACUACUCUUAUCCUAGCUAUAAAUCAUACUUCUAAACUCGUUAUCCUUUGUGCCGUGGAAUGCGGAACAUCACAUUUACCUUUUUACUUACGGUGUUGUUUCUCUCUCCAUUUUUUUUCCAUUUCAGGUAAGAUCCACUCACUUUACGCUUGACGUGUUGAAGCGAUCGUUGAUGCUGUUCGGUGCUAGCAGCCUUUGUGUGUGUUUUUUUUACUUGCGUCACCAAGGUAUUUAGUUACAAAUUAUCGCAAAAUUUCUUGUUAGCUUAUACGCAACGCACCGUGAUGAAAGGACACGUCUUGUGGCUCUUGGUGGAGUCCCCCGAUACCCGUAGGUGAUUAACGGAACCGGUAAGCGGAUUUUCUCGUCUAAAUACUCUACCCAUGGUGAUGAGGAGAUUUACACAAAAUUUGUAAUGGAAUCAAUUUCAUUCGA